rnacentral:rRNA from 1 species
GUCUAAAAAGUGAACUGAAGAUACAGCUGGUUAAAAAAAAAAAGUAUUUACUCAGAAACUAAGCAGAGUCAGGCCUGGUUAGUACUUGGAUGGGAGACCUGUGGGAAUACUAGGUGCUCUAGGCU